GGCGAAGGAGAGCGACGGCGGCUGCCCGCGGCGAUAGACAUGAACAUACAGAUGGACGAUGAAGAAGUUGCAAAGUAGAGGGUCUGAUUCUCCUAUCACGGCACAAUCAAAUGGUGUAUAUCUGCUGGGGAAGUGAGACAGCAGAUACAUCUCAGCUCAGGAACAGAGAGAAAUUCUUUGGCACAUGGUCUGGCUCAGCUCAGUGGCAGUCUGUGUUCACCAGCUGGAAAGGAGU